rnacentral:lncRNA from 1 species
GGAGCGGCGAUCAGAGGCCUGGGUUCUGCGGGAAGUGGGGAGGGCGAGGGAGGCGGGGAGGCGGUGGCGCCUCCGGGGAGAGACCUGAGGCCGAGGCCUGAGCCUCCCGCCCCUCUGCGGGCGCCUCCCGGGCUCCGCCCCCUGCCCGCCCUCCCCCCUCCCCCCCCUUGGCGUAACCAGUAGGCGCUCCCUAAAUGCUCCCUCUCUCCCUCUCCUUGGCCCCACCCGCCACGUCUGGGCUCCGCCUUCUCAACGCUCAAGAGAAGGGAGCUUUGCGGCAAUAGCCAUGGCCCCUUUGUUCCCCAGAUCCAGAGCCCACGAGGAUUACUACGCCGACUUCCAGCACAAGUAGGAGAAAAGCCGAAGGUGGCACAUAUUGGGAUUGCAGAACCUUAGGGGCCUUAGAGACCCCCCAGUCCAAGCCAUCUGCAGAGAGGUUGCAUAUCCUGGGUCACAAGGUCAGGAGGCUGCCCCCAGGUCCUCUGCCCUCCCUCUGCUGCGCCAUGUUGCUCCUGGUGAUGAUUGCCUUGUUAGGUGAUUCUGAAGCUGUUGCCUUGGCCCCUUGUGAAGCCAGACCCCUGAGAACAAGCCCCCUGCAUGCUCUCUGGCCCCUUCCCGUGGACCCCCAGGGCCAUCUGAGGGCCAGAACCUGGACAAGCACAAAUAAAACCCUUUGGUGUUUCAGGAGCCAGUGACCUUCCAGGAUGUGGCGGUGGUCUUCACACAGGAGCAGUGGGGAUACCUGGACCCUUCUCAGAAGGAGCUGUACCGGGACGUGAUGCUGGAGAACUAUCAGAACCUGCUCUGCCUGGGUGAGGACGGCUUCUCCCUGGGACUCGGGCUCUGUCUCCUCUCCCCUCCCCAGCCCUAGAAGGGUCUUCAUCUCCUUUGGUAAAAGCCCUUUGGCCUCUGAGGGCCCAGAGGUGACUGUGUGACACGCUUUGGAC